rnacentral:rRNA from 1 species
AAAUUGAAGAGUUUGAUCAUGGCUCAGAUUGAACGCUGGCGGCAGGCCUAACACAUGCAAGUCGAACGGUAGCACAGAGAGCUUGCUCUCGGGUGACGAGUGGCGGACGGGUGAGUAAUGUCUGGGAAACUGCCCGAUGGAGGGGGAUAACUACUGGAAACGGUAGCUAAUACCGCAUAACGUCGCAAGACCAAAGUGGGGGACCUUCGGGCCUCACACCAUCGGAUGUGCCCAGAUGGGAUUAGCUAGUAGGUGGGGUAACGGCUCACCUAGGCGACGAUCCCUAGCUGGUCUGAGAGGAUGACCAGCCACACUGGAACUGAGACACGGUCCAGACUCCUACGGGAGGCAGCAGUGGGGAAUAUUGCACAAUGGGCGCAAGCCUGAUGCAGCCAUGCCGCGUGUAUGAAGAAGGCCUUCGGGUUGUAAAGUACUUUCAGCGAGGAGGAAGGCGUUGUGGUUAAUAACCACAGCGAUUGACGUUACUCGCAGAAGAAGCACCGGCUAACUCCGUGCCAGCAGCCGCGGUAAUACGGAGGGUGCAAGCGUUAAUCGGAAUUACUGGGCGUAAAGCGCACGCAGGCGGUUUGUUAAGUCAGAUGUGAAAUCCCCGGGCUCAACCUGGGAACUGCAUUUGAAACUGGCAAGCUUGAGUCUCGUAGAGGGGGGUAGAAUUCCAGGUGUAGCGGUGAAAUGCGUAGAGAUCUGGAGGAAUACCGGUGGCGAAGGCGGCCCCCUGGACAAAGACUGACGCUCAGGUGCGAAAGCGUGGGGAGCAAACAGGAUUAGAUACCCUGGUAGUCCACGCCGUAAACGAUGUCUACUUGGAGGUUGUGCCCUUGAGGCGUGGCUUCCGGAGCUAACGCGUUAAGUAGACCGCCUGGGGAGUACGGCCGCAAGGUUAAAACUCAAAUGAAUUGACGGGGGCCCGCACAAGCGGUGGAGCAUGUGGUUUAAUUCGAUGCAACGCGAAGAACCUUACCUGGUCUUGACAUCCACGGAAGUUUUCAGAGAUGAGAAUGUGCCUUCGGGAACCGUGAGACAGGUGCUGCAUGGCU